rfam:Termitomyces sp. J132 unplaced genomic scaffold scaffold313, whole genome shotgun sequence.
GCCCGCCUAGCUCAAUCGGAUAGAGCGUCAGACUCUUAACUGGCCAUAGGCGAUGUGAUCUGAAGGCUGCGAGUUCGACCCUCGCGGUGGGCU